rnacentral:lncRNA from 1 species
GGCCCUGAGCUCCAGGAUGUCAGAAGAGGAAGCAAAAAAGAGCAGCCUGCAAAUGCAGCCAUGGUGGGAAGGACUUGGAUCAGAUCCCAGAGGAGCCAGGCAACUUGAGUUUAGGAAUAGGGAGAAAUGUCUGGGGGAUUGCUGCUCUCAUCAAGAUAACUGCCUGGAAAGACUGUGAGUUGUUUGUUGUUCUUUUUAAAAAUAUUUUUAUGUGUAUUAGAGUUUUGCCUGCAGCUAUGCCAGAGUGAAAGUGACACAUCCCCUGGAGCUGGAGUUACAGACAUUGUGAGGCGCCAUGUAGGUGCUGGGAAUUGAACCUCUGUCCUCUGGAAGAGCAGCCAAUGCUCUUGACUGCUGAGCUAUUUCCCAGGAUGUCCUUAUGCUGCUCUGUGUGAGCAGAGGCCAGGCACUGCUAUGUGGAAACUAUCCCAACUUUGGUAGCCUCACAUAUGGGCUUGAAAAGACGAUGAUGGGAACCUGACCACAACAGCAUGUACCAGCAACCAUUAUUUAAGGAACCCAGACGAGGGUGAGUAUGUUGGGGAAGGGGGAAGGGGGGGGGAAGGGUCUGUCCGGAGCAGAUGGGAGCUGAGCCUUGAGAAGUGCGUUAAUGAAGCUGGGAGCAGGUGUGCUCCAUGAGGGACCAAUAUAGACAAAGGCACAGGAGUGGGUAAGGGCACACUGAUGAAUGCUGGGGUCUGUGGUUCUGAAGAGAACAGUGUAGAGACGAGUGAGUCCUAGGUGAUGAGGCUGAAGCCUGUCGCACGCCCCACACAGUCAUGUCCUCGGGCAUUUGUACAUGCUGUUUCUUUUGCCUAGGACACACACUCCUUCCUGGUCACAUAAUUCAUCCAUGGAACCAGGGAUGGAGCCAACAGCUUAUCACUGAAAGGUCUCUCUUCAAAAGAAAAAACAGUCCUUCACAACACUACACACUUGUAACACGUGGGAGGUAGAGGCAGAAGGUGCAGGAGCUCAAAGUUAUCCUUAGCUAAGGCUAAGGGCUUCCAGGCUAGCUAGGCUAUAUGAGAAAUGGACAGACAGGGACUGGAGAGAUGACUCAGUGGUUAAGAGCACUGGCUGCUCUUACAAAGGUCCUGAGUUCAAAUUGCAGCAACCACAUGGUGGCUCACAACCACCCGUAAUGAGAUCUGAUGCCCCCUUCUGGUGCUGUCUGAAGACAGCUACAGUGUACUUAGGUAUAAUAAUAAAUAAAUCUCUGGGCCAGAGUGAGCAGGGCCAACCGGAGCUAGCGGGGCCAAUUGGAGUGAGCAGAGGUCCUAAAUUCAAUACUCAACAACCACAUGAAGGCUCACAACCAUCUGUACAGCUACAGUGUACUCACAUACAUAAAAUAAAUAAAUAAAUAAAUAAAUCCUUUAAAAAAAGAAAUGGACAGACAGCAUGAAAGGUAGCACGGGGGAUAGGUAGACACAACAGAUUGCUAAAGUAAAAAAAUUCAGGGCCUUGUUGGAAUGACAGAAGAGGCCAGGUAAGUGGUCCUGAAGCAACUAAGCUCCAUUAGUUCUGAUUCUACUUAGCCUGGCUAAAAAAAAUUCUAUUUUUAUUAAGAACUUGUAUCAGUUCAGAUGUCACCUCUCCCAGGAAGUUCCUGGCUGGGUCCCAGACUCUCAUCUCUUGCCUCCAGUGAGCAGCCCUAACUCCUGUGGGUGACACUGUGUAUGACACGGGGAAGGAGCAGGAAGAGAUGCCUGUACGUGACUCUCGUGGACAUCUCUCAAGAUGAGAACAGUUGAGCAAGGUCAGCAGCAGAGUCAGAACUCUUCCCCCAUCACCACAGUGGUCCUCAAGCUGGAGCCAGACAUCCACCCAGGUGACCCAGCUUGGAUCAUGUGCUUAGGGCCAUGUUGAGCCAACAACUGAGCCUGAGGAUUACCUUCCCAAGUCUCAGUCCCUUCCUCACCAGUCGGGACACUUGUCAUGCCUGCGAGAUGUCAGACCUGCCUUCCUUCCUCAUUUCCUCCACAACCCACAAGAACACAGCCAGGACCCCUAGGCUUCUCCACUUCAGGACCACUACACACUAUUCACACCAUCCUUCAGGACCACUACACACUAUUCACAUUGUACUUCAGGACCACUACACACUAUUCACACCAUCCUUCAGGACCACUACACACUAUUCACAUUGUGCUUCAGGACCACUACACACUAUUCACACUGUACUUCAGAUCCACUAUACACUAUUCACACCAUCCUUCAGGACCACUAUACACUAUUCACACUGUACUUCAGGACCACUAUACACUAUUCACACUGUACUUCAGAUCCACUAUACACUAUUCACACCAUCCUUCAGGACCACUACACACUAUUCACACUAUCCUUCAGGACCACUAUACACUAUUCACACUGUACUUCAGGACCACUACACACUAUUCACACCAUCCUUCAGGACUACUACACACUAUUCACACCAUCCUUCAGGAUCACUAUAUGUGGCCUGUUGUACCAUGUGAUCUCGAUCUCACUGCAUGGCUAGGAGAACCUCCGCGCACUUCUCUCAUCUGUGCUUUCUCAGCUAGAGAGGUCUCAGAAGAUACUGUGAGCAAAACCUCCUCAGUAUGCCCUAGAAAGUCUAUAGUGGCACUACCUCCCAUCCUACAGCUGAGAAAACUGAGGUUUGGAUCAUGGUCUAGUCAUAGCUGAAACCCAAGGCUUGAUUCCUUAUCCUACAGAACACAUUUUUUUGAAUUUUAAAUAUUAUAGUGUGUGUGUGUGUAUGUGUGUGUGUGUGUGUGUGCUCACAUAUUCAUGUGGAGGUCAGAGGACAACUUUUGUCCUCUUCCACCAUAGAGCACAGCUUUGACCUGUAAGCUGCCACUCCUAUGUGGGGUUAUAUAACUGAAUAUGAGGGUUGCAACAUUUUUGGCAACAAUAAAAGGCUUCCGAAUGCAUAACAACCAAAUAGAUUAAAGAUCAAAUCUGCCUUGAAUCUAAGGUGUUUCUGGCAGUACUUGGCCAUGUGCACCACGUGACUGCACUGCUGCUCUGACUCUGAACAAACAAAAGACAAAGUUAAAUGAGAGGCUGGACAGAUGGCUCAGUGGUUAAGAGGACUGGCUGCUCUCUCAGAGGACUUGGAUUUAAGACCCACACCCACAGGACUGCUCACAAUUCUCCAAGUAGAGUCUUAGAGGAUCUGACAACCCCUUCUGGCCUCCAUAGGUACCAGGCACACAUGUAGUGCAUAUAUCUACACUCACCCAAAACACUCAUACACAUAAAAUAAGUAAGUAGAAAAAUGGAAAACAAAAUAAGCAAGCACUUCCAUCUUACUGGUGUGCAAUUUACUUUCAUUCUUAAUAAAUGGUAAAACUACGUGUCAAAGGACUGUUUUAAAAUAAAUUUCCUUAUGAUUU